rnacentral:rRNA from 1 species
GACAGAGGGGGCAAGCGUUGCUCGGAAUUACUGGGCGUAAAGGGCGCGUAGGCGGGAUGGCAAGUCGGUCGUGAAAUCCCUCGGCUCAACCGAGGAACGUCGAUCGAUACUGCUGUUCUUGAGGAUUGCAGAGGAGACUGGAAUUCCCGGUGUAGCGGUGAAAUGUGUAGAGAUCGGGAGGAACACCGGUGGCGAAGGCGCUCAUCUGGCCCAAUACUGACGCUGAGGCGCGAAAGCUAGGGGAGCAAACGGG